rnacentral:rRNA from 1 species
UACGUAGGGUGCGAGCGUUGUCCGGAAUUACUGGGCGUAAAGAGCUCGUAGGUGGUUUGUCGCGUUGUUCGUGAAAACUCACAGCUCAACUGUGGGCGUGCGGGCGAUACGGGCAGACUGGAGUACUGCAGGGGAGACUGGAAUUCCUGGUGUAGCGGUGGAAUGCGCAGAUAUCAGGAGGAACACCGGUGGCGAAGGCGGGUCUCUGGGCCGAUACUGACGCUGGAGGCGCGAAAGCGUGGGGAGCGAACAGG